CCUACGGGAGGCAGCAGUGGGGAAUAUUGGACAAUGGGCGCAAGCCUGAUCCAGCCAUGCCGCGUGGGUGAAGAAGGCCUUCGGGUUGUAAAGCCCUUUUGUUGGGAAAGAAAAGCAGUCGGUUAAUACCCGAUUGUUCUGACGGUACCCAAAGAAUAAGCACCGGCUAACUUCGUGCCAGCAGCCGCGGUAAUACGAAGGGUGCAAGCGUUACUCGGAAUUACUGGGCGUAAAGCGUGCGUAGGUGGUUGUUUAAGUCCGUUGUGAAAGCCCUGGGCUCAACCUGGGAAUUGCAGUGGAUACUGGGCAACUAGAGUGUGGUAGAGGAUGGCGGAAUUCCCGGUGUAGCAGUGAAAUGCGUAGAGAUCGGGAGGAACAUCUGUGGCGAAGGCGGCCAUCUGGACCAACACUGACACUGAGGCACGAAAGCGUGGGGAGCAAACAGGAUUAGAUACCCGGGUAGUC
rnacentral:rRNA from 1 species